rfam:Ictidomys tridecemlineatus contig039508, whole genome shotgun sequence.
GCGGUUGUGGCUUAGUGGUAGAGUGUUUGCCUCACAUGUUUGAAGGAAGCACUGAGUUCAAUUCUCAGCACCGCA